rnacentral:tRNA from 1 species
GGAAUUUAGCUCAGUGGUAGAGCGCUUGCCUAGCAAGCAUAAGGCCCUGGGUUCGGUCCCCAGCUCCG